rnacentral:rRNA from 1 species
CCUACGGGUGGCUGCAGUGAGGAAUAUUGGUCAAUGGGCGCGAGUCUGAACCAGCCAAGUAGCGUGAAGGAUGACUGCCCUAUGGGUUGUAAACUUCUUUUAUAUGGGAAUAAAGUUGUCCACGUGUGGAUUUUUGUAUGUACCAUAUGAAUAAGGAUCGGCUAACUCCGUGCCAGCAGCCGCGGUAAUACGGAGGAUCCGAGCGUUAUCCGGAUUUAUUGGGUUUAAAGGGAGCGUAGGCGGAUUGUUAAGUCAGUUGUGAAAGUUUGCGGCUCAACCGUAAAAUUGCAGUUGAUACUGGCAGUCUUGAGUGCAGUAGAGGUGGGCGGAAUUCGUGGUGUAGCGGUGAAAUGCUUAGAUAUCACGAAGAACUCCGAUUGCGAAGGCAGCUCACUGGAGUGUAACUGACGCUGAUGCUCGAAAAUGUAGGUAUCAAACAGGGUGACAGGCAGCAGUCGCC